AGUGAACGCUGGCGGUAGGCCUAACACAUGCAAGUCGAACGGCAGCACAGUAAGAGCUUGCUCUUACGGGUGGCGAGUGGCGGACGGGUGAGGAAUACAUCGGAAUCUACUUUUUCGUGGGGGAUAACGUAGGGAAACUUACGCUAAUACCGCAUACGACCUACGGGUGAAAGCAGGGGAUCUUCGGACCUUGCGCGAUUGAAUGAGCCGAUGUCGGAUUAGCUAGUUGGCGGGGUAAAGGCCCACCAAGGCGACGAUCCGUAGCUGGUCUGAGAGGAUGAUCAGCCACACUGGAACUGAGACACGGUCCAGACUCCUACGGGAGGCAGCAGUGGGGAAUAUUGGACAAUGGGCGAAAGCCUGAUCCAGCCAUACCGCGUGUGUGAAGAAGGCCUUCGGGUUGUAAAGCCCUUUUGGUGGGAAAGAAAAGCAGCAGGUUAAUACCCCGCUGUUCUGACGUUACCCAAAGAAUAAGCACCGGCUAACUUCGUG
rnacentral:rRNA from 1 species